ACCCCUACAAACCAACGUGCCACACAAAAGCCAAAGUGAGCUACACAUUUGACAUUUUGCCAUGGUGGGAUGUUGCUGGUCUUUCCCGGGGAGGGAAGUCAAUGGGUUAACAUGGACAUUCUGAUCAAGGCUCUUCACUCUCAGGGACACACAGUCAGAGUGGUACCUAACAACAAAAAGUUGGUACAUCAAACAAGAGUUGUCCUACUACAGUUCUUUUACAAUACCUGUCACUGAUGAUAUGGAUGAGGAAUUUGUAAAGCCAAUCAUAAAGAAAGUAAUUGAUAUAGAGGGAGGAACAAUCUUUGUAUUAAACGUUAUGCAUUUGCAAA